AACUUCACCUUUUGAAUUGAUCACCUUGUCACAUGCAGCCAAAACAAUUUCUGAAGCACCUUUAGUAUGGGCUCGCAAGCCUCCUUGAGGAAGCUCCACCACUACACCCAUUCGCUUUUUUGUGGAGUUGAAAGGCUCAACUUUAAUAAGUUUGACUGCCUGUCGCUCUGCUUGAAAAUCUCCACCUAGAGACAAGGCAAACUCCAACAAAGCACUCUCAGUAGGCGUUCCCAAUAUCUCGAGUUUGCCAUCUUUACUAAUAACAACUUCACCUCCAGUGUUAUUAAAUAUUGAUUGUAGCAAAAGUUUCACAGAAGAAUCAGGUAUUUCACAGCAGAAGCUUGAAGCCUUGUCAGGUUGGCCGACUUCCUUGAUAUUCAUGCAAAUGCAUGAUUUCACAACAGUCAUAUGAUUGGUAGUCAGUGUCCCAGUUUUGUCGCUGCAGAUAGUUGUUGCUGAUCCCAUAGUCUCACAAGCUGCCAGAUGUCGAACAAGGGCUUUAUCAUUCAUCAUCUUUUUCAUGGCAAAGGCAAGGCUCAAUGUCCCAGCCAGUGGCAGCCCCUCUGGAACUGCAACAACAACAAUUGUAACUGCAACUGCAAAGUAUUCUAGCAGCUCCAAUGCAUCAUCUCCAG
rnacentral:misc_RNA from 1 species